rnacentral:rRNA from 1 species
AGGAGCGACCAUAUCAUCACUAAUGGACCUGAUUCCAUCAGAACUCCGAAGUUAAGCAUGCUUGGGCGAGAAUAGUUCUAAGAUGGGCUUGUCUUAUGAUUUUCAUAGACACAGGCU